rnacentral:rRNA from 1 species
CAGUAGCCGCGGGAAUACGUAGGUCCCGAGCGUUGUCCGGAUUUAUUGGGCGUAAAGGGCUCGCAGGCGGUUUCUUAAGUCUGAUGUGAAAGCCCCCGGCUCAACCGGGGAGGGUCAUUGGAAACUGGGAAACUUGAGUGCAGAAGAGGAGAGUGGAAUUCCACGUGUAGCGGUGAAAUGCGUAGAGAUGUGGAGGAACACCAGUGGCGAAGGCGACUCUCUGGUCUGUAACUGACGCUGAGGAGCGAAAGCGUGGGGAGCGAACAGGAUUAGAUACCCGCGUAGUCCCUGUCUCUUAUAC